rnacentral:misc_RNA from 1 species
UCCUGGUUUCCCAGGCAGUCCCGCUAGAGUGCUCUCAGAGAGUAGCAACUAGCAGCAAGGGUUGCGCUCGUUAAAGGACUUAACCCAACAUCUCACGACACGAGCUGACGACAGCCAUGCAGCACCUGUGCAGUUGUCUCGACCGAAGCCGAGAAGAUCGUGUUUCCACGACUGUCAAAAGCAUGUCAAGCCCAGGUAAGGUUCCUCGCGUAGUGUCGAAUUAAACCACAUAUUCCACCGCUUGUGCGAACCCCCGUCAAUUCCUUUGAGUUUUAAUCUUGCGACCGUACUUCCCAGGCGAAUCACUUAACGCGUUAGCUUUGAUACCAAUUCAGCUAAGCUGAACUAACAUCUAGUGAUUAUCGUUUACGGCGUGGACUAC